GACAGAUGAUGCAAGCGUUAUCCGGAAUGAUUGGGCGUAAAGCGUCUGUAGGUGGCUUUUUAAGUUCGCCGUCAAAUCCCAGGGCUCAACCCUGGACAGGUGGUGGAAACUACCAAGCUAGAGUACGGUAGGGGCAGAGGGAAUUUCCGGUGGAGCGAUGAAAUGCGUAGAGAUCGGAAGGAACACCCAAGGCGAAAGCACUCUGCUGGGCCGACACUGACACUGAGAGACGAAAGCUAGGGGAGCAAAUGGG
rnacentral:rRNA from 1 species